CCUACGGGAGGCAGCAGUGAGGAAUAUUGGUCAAUGGACGGAAGUCUGAACCAGCCAUGCCGCGUGCAGGAAGACGGCUCUAUGAGUUGUAAACUGCUUUUGUCCAAGGGUAAACCUGCAUACGUGUAUUCAGCUGAAAGUACUGUACGAAUAAGGAUCGGCUAACUCCGUGCCAGCAGCCGCGGUAAUACGGAGGAUCCAAGCGUUAUCCGGAUUUAUUGGGUUUAAAGGGUGCGUAGGCGGAUUGAUAAGUUAGAGGUGAAAUGUCCGAGCUUAACUCGGGAACUGCCUCUAAUACUGUUGAUCUAGAGAGUAGGUGCGGUAGGCGGAAUGUAUGGUGUAGCGGUGAAAUGCUUAGAGAUCAUACAGAACACCGAUUGCGAAGGCAGCUUACCAAUCUAUAUCUGACGUUGAGGCACGAACGCGUGGGGAGCGAACAGGAUUAGAUACCCCUGUAGUC
rnacentral:rRNA from 1 species